CAUACGAUCAGAACAGAGCCAUCUGAGGGCGAGGGAGGUUCUAUUUCUGAUAGCUUGAACCCUAACAUGAUGCAGAGACGCUGAAAGGGACAUUCAAAGAGGGGAAGUGACCUACUCAGCACUUGCAGAAAGACCAGGAUGCAGGUGGCUGGUACCCUGACUCUAGCCCAUCCUCCACCCCGGCUCAGAGAGAACAUUCUAAAGCGCAGAGCUGGCCACCUCGCCGCAUGCUUAAAAAUCCUCUCAUGGAUCUACAUUUCCUGAAGAUAAAAUCCCAAUGUCUAGACCUGACAUCCAAGACCUUUUGUUACCAGAUCCCUGCUCACUCCUUCAACCUUAUCUACAGCUGCUCUGCAAGGCACAACCUGCAUUCUGGUCAAACAGGCGGCAGCCACCCACAGGCACGUCUCCAUUCCUCCCCACCUUUAACCAGGCUCUUCCCUCGACUGAACGGCCCCUUCCUUGAUUAUCUCUCUCAUUCUUCAGCUCAGCUCUGGCCUCCCAGGCCCACCCCCUCCCGUCUGGUCAGCCCAGAUGGGGCGCCUCCUCUGGUCCUCCACACCCUCUGGCGUCACUUAUCACCUGGUGUCAGGAGUCUUUCUUGGCUUUGGGGUUUUUUAAGACGAGAUUCUCAGGAGAUUGGAAAGAUCUCAUGGCUUAGUUAAAAACAUUUGGAGGGAGAGAUGAGCAGAGCAAGGCGCUCCCCACUCCCCUGUUGGCCAGAAAAAUGUCCCCCGGGCUGUACAGAAAAGGACUGGGAAGGGGAGGAAUGAGAAAGUCGCUGUCCCGGCUAAAGAGGCCUGCAUGCUCUGCUCCCAGGGCCAGGUGUGGGGACAAAGACAAAUUUCCCAGAGGGACAACCUGUGGGAUCUCUGAGCAGAAGGGAAGGAGGACCCCCAGGGAGGAAGGAAAGCCCCAAAGAGCAGAAGUGUCCACAUGGCAUGUAGGCGACUGGGAACUUAGACAUCUCAGAGUUUCCCACAAUCCUGUGAGGCAUAAGAAGUAAUACAAUGACUCCUGUGAACCCCAUAAUGUCACGGAGGUAGCAGAGUCACCUGAUCUGAGACAGGGCACAAACAUGGUGACCUGCAUUGACCAAUGGCUGAAAGAUAAAUGCCACCGAAACGGACAUCGAGGACCGGUGGCCUCCCUCCCAUCACCUUUGCACACCAAGCAUAGAUGUGAUUGCUGGGGAAUGGAGAGGAUGGAUUGACUGUGACUCAGUUGUGAUCCAGCCCGGCAAAAUGGAGGCUCAAAAUAGCAACUGAACGUAGUUCGGUAUAAUAAAGAAAUACAUAUUUUCUAUUUCUCCCACACCUGAGUUUGUAGACCGAAAAUCAUACCCAUUGAUAAAAGAAGCUUGGCCAGAAAAACACAUGUAUUCAGAGCUGGGUCCUGACCUGAAAUAGGGGUCCGCCUCUUUCCCCUAUUUUGACUUCUGGGGCAGCCCAGUAUGAGAUGUCAAGAAUCCGUGAGCUAGGGACUUCCCUGGUGGUCCAGCGGGUGGAACUCCACGCUCCUGAUGCGGGGGGCCCGGGUUCGAUCCCUGGUUGGGGGAACUAGAUCCCACACGCAUGCCGCGACUAAGAGUUCGCAUGCCGCAACUCAACAUGCUGCAGCAAAGGUCCUGUGUGCCAAAAUAAAUAAAUGUUAAAAAAAAAAAAAAAAAAAAGAAUCUGUGAGCCAGAUCCGAAGUCUCUCUGCUUGAUGAUUACAGCUACAGCUAAAGGGUCCCAAUGCAGCAAACCACACCAGAGAGAGAAUUGAAUGGUCAGGGUCCAGGCUUCUGCUUGAAGGUAACCUCCUGGGCUACCCAGGGUUGAGUGAUGGCACCCCUUCUUCCUGUGACUCGGGAGAAGGGUGGUCAGGAGAGGCUUCUCUGCAAAAAUGAGGCUGGAGAAGAAAUCUGAAAUUAGGCAGUGAGGAAGGGAAGAGCUACCAAGCACACAGAACUGUAUGUGCAAAGGCCCUGUGGUAGAAAGGAGCUGGGCUUGUUCACGGAAGGAAAUAGACUCCUAUGUCAGGAACCCAGAGAGAGAAGGUGAGUGAUGAAGCAGGACAUUGAUUGGUGCUUCUAAAACGUUCCCCCGUCCCUCCCCUUUAGUUGGGCUGGACCUAGUGACUAGUUUCUAACAAAUAGCAUAAGAUAGCAAUGGGAUGCCACCUCCAAGAUUAGGUUAUAAAAGACCUCUUGCUCCCACUCUGUCUCUGGUUUUCUCACUUGCUUGUUCUGAUGAAACAAGCUGCCAUAUUGUAAGCUGCCUUACGGAGAAGCCCUCGUGGCAAGAAACUGAGGAAGCCUCCGGCCAACAGCCAGCGAGGAGCUAAAUCCUGCCAACAACUGCAUGAGUGAGCUUGGAAGCAGAUCGACCCUGAGUUGAGCCUUGAGAUGACUGCAGCCUCAUCGGAUAACUUGGUUGCAGCCUUGUGAGAAGCCCUGAGCCAGAGGACCCCAGCUUCUCACAGAGGACACCCACAUCCCUGACCCACAGGAUCUGUGACAUAAUA